rnacentral:rRNA from 1 species
AUUGAACGCUGGCGGCAGGCCUAACACAUGCAAGUCGAGCGAGCGGCGGACGGGUGAGUAAUGUAUGGGAAACUGCCUGAUGGAGGGGGAUAACUACUGGAAACGGUGGCUAAUACCGCAUACCAUCCGAUGUCCCCACAUGGGAUUAGCUAGUAGGUGAGGUAACGGCUAACCUAGGCGACGAUCCCUAGCUGGUCGGAGAGGAUGACCAGCCACACUGGAACUGAGACACGGUCCAGACUCCUACGGGAGGCAGCAGUGGGGAAUAUUGCACAAUGGGCGCAAGCCUGAUGCAGCCAUGCCGCGUGUAUGAAGAAGGCCUUCGGGUUGUAAAGUACUUUCAGCGGGGAGGCGUUACCCACAGAAGAAGCACCGGCUAACUCCGUGCCAGCAGCCGCGGUAAUUC